GUGAACGGCGAUAAGAUUCUGUAGAUGAUUUCCAAGACUCUAGUAUGUUUUUCAAUUUUAUUUAUUUUUAUUUUUCAUAUAUAUAAUUUUGCAGUAAUUGGUUAUUGUGAUGGUUUGAUUUUCGCGUCUCCAGAUUAUCUAUCUAUCUAUCUAUCCUGUUUAGUCUUUUGGUUUUGAUCUUAUCGGUAGUUUCUGAAGAUGUUUUCCGCUAGUGUGAGAUUGUUUUGUAGUAAUUCGUUAUUUUAUUAUAUUAUAUUGAUUGAGUGUUGAGUCAGUCUCCACAGAUUAUGUAUUAUGUUUAGGCUUUUACCAUUGAUCUCUGACUGUCUAUCGUAGAUUGGAAAAGUAUACAUAUAUAUAUAUAGUUCAUCUGAUCUUCAAGUAUUGAAGCAGGGGAUAUGCAUUCAUUAGAUUUGUCUGUUUGACGCUGUAAAUGACUUCUCGUUUUAGAUUCUCAAUUGCAUUCGUUGAUUCAGAAUUAUACAUACUCCUUUUCUUCCCUUCCAUUCCCUUCAAAGUUUGUAUGGUUUGUGUUGAUUUGUAGUUUCUGUAGAUGGUUUCUACGACUACAAUUGUAAUAUGUUAAUACUUAGUCAUGAUUGAUGCUUGUGAUGGUUAUGCUGAUUAUUUGAUUACUGAAGAGUUUUUCAGAUCAGAUCAGAUCAUCCUGUUUAGCAUUAAUCUGCCAUUGAUCUACAACAAACUAGUUUCAUAUGGAAUUAUUUGGAAAGGCAAAUAUGCAUUCACACUAGUAUCAAAUCACCAUCACACCACAAGUCCUGAAAAAAGCUGAAUAUACCACCGUGCCUGCUGCUGCUGCUGCUGUGUUCGAUACAGCUAGCAAAGCAAACUAAUUAAUUAAGAAGCUAGCUCUCAUCAGCAUUCGUUGAUAAUACUCUCCAUUGCUAAUAACAUAUGCAUGGAUGGUAACUCAUUGUUGUAUCUGUUCCUCAGUGUAAUGAGCUUAGUAGCUGUAGCCCUUGACAAACAUUCCCUGCUUGGCUUCCUCAGAUUCUCCCUCGCCGGUGUACUUACCGAGCUGCGCCAGGGAGUUAGCCUUGGCGCGAACAAGGAGCACGUCUUGAGCAGCCUUCACAUUUUCCGGAAGGCCUCCCCACGUCUUCAAGCAGGUGUUCUGGAGAGCCCUUGCAUAGGAGAACGACACGUGCCAUGGGUUCGGAGAUUGGUUCAUUGCAUUCAAGUUCUGUGUGGCUUCCACCUCAGAUUGCCCGCCGGACAAGAACUGCUCAAAAGGUCGGUACAGGUUAAAUCUCAGGAUGCUUUAUAUGCUUCCAGUUUAGACUUUACUUCACCAUGUGCUUUGUGAAUGUAUUUUAUGUUAUGAAAUCAAUGGUCGUUAUAUACUGCACUUGAAUUAAUAUUAAUAUAAACCAUGUGGUGUUAGACUUAUAUUUUAUAUGCUACUUGUAUAUAUUUGAUUUUGUCAUCACUAUGCUGAAAAGUGCCGUCUAAGCAUUAGAAACAACAUCCAAUUAAAUUAUAGCCAAAAUUGCUUAUAACCUACAUGUAGUUUGAAGAAUUACAUGCUAUUUGUAAAUAUUUUGUGUGCUAUGUUUCAAAAAAUACGAGGAGGGAGUAUCAUGCCAUUUCUAAAUUAUAAAAAAGAAUUAUGCAGAAUUUUCAAUUCACAAGCAAUUUUGCCUAAAUUAUAUAUAAUCCUGUGAGCAAAAUGUUUAGUGAUUUGAAUUGAGGUUGCAGAAGUUACCAUAAUUCCAGGAACAGCAGGGGGAAUCCUCCUGUGGAGGAGUCGGAGAGUGUAGUCGGCAACCUGGUCUGGUGUGGCGCGGUCCUUCGAUUCUGCGCCGGGAGUGACCAUGCUCGGCUUCAGGAGAAUACCUUCAAACAUAACAUUGUUCUCCGCCAGGUAGAAGAACACCUCAGCCCAAACCUUUUGAGCAACCUCAAACGUCCUCUCAAUGCCAUGCUCGCCGUCCAGCAAGAUCUCCGGCUCCACAAUUGGGACCAAUCCAUUGUCCUGAGAAAUGGCUGCAUAGCGAGCCAGCCCCCAGGCAGCCUCCUUAACCGCCAAGGCCGAUGGUCCAUUCGGAAUGCUCACAACGGUACGCCUAAUUAAUUCAUCCACUCAUUAAUCCAAUCACAAGAUUUUAGCCAUUGAUGAUCAUUGCUACGUAAAGUAUGGCAAUUCAUCAGCAGUUAAAAAUACCAUUUGGCGAAGCGAGCACCCUGCUCGUAGUAAGAAGCGGAGCGCGAAGCAAGGCCGUCAAGACCUUGGCACCAAGACUCGUCGUUGGAGCCAGCUAGAGGAACCAGUCCCUGCUCGAAUCCAAUGCAACCGAACAAUGUUUUGCUCAACAAGAACAUCAACUAUCUUCCUGCCAUCAGUGGUGGAUUGGUACAGAGUCUCUUCGAAAAGAAUCGCCCCAGAGAUGUACUGGCCGAGGCCGGGGGCAGUCACCAGGAGGGUUCGGUAGGCUUGCCGGUUGGCCUCAGUGUUCUCCAGCCCGAUCGACGCCAGCCGCUUUCCACAAGUGGCGUUGGAUUCAUCCAUGGCGAGAAUUCCACGCCCGGGCGACGCAACAGUUUUCUGGAUCAAACAGAUUUUUGUUUUUAUAGUUAAAGAUUCAUUCUCACUAUGAUUAUUAAUUUGAAGAUAAAGUGAUACUGACUGCAGUCUUGACGAGCUCAUCGGCAUAGGAGAAGGCGCGAAUGGCGAGUGACGGAGCUGCGUUGGGGCUGCAUCGCGUGGAGGCUAAGGGCUGCCGUAGGAGGCCGGAUUUUCCCUUGAUGAAGUCGGACUUUUCGAGCACCGCCGGAGAUGGCUUGAGGAGUGAUGCUGCUGAAGUCAUUGUUGGUAGAGACCGCAGAUAAGCUCAAGGCUAGCUGAGGUUCUUUUUUCACAACCUUAUCACU